GGCAAUAACACACACACUUAAACUACAAACAUAUCGAGAUGAAUCACCCAAUACACCCACAGUUUCACUACAAACCUGGUGAUACAUCCUGGAUGUAUGUCUUUAACUUGUACCCCGUGCCAGGCAGGAGAAGGUGUGUUUAUAUUUUCCAUUAAUGGAAAAGUAACGGGAAGAGGCAUAUUUACUAAAAUAUUAAAACAAAAACAGUUUCCAAAUCGAUGUUACUAAUUCGUGGUUUUGUUGGAGGCGUGGCAUUCAGAAACGUGUUUAUGGUUGUAAAGUUUACACAUCAUAUAUAUUUGAUUUUAAUUCACAUCACCAUUUGCAAGAACAUUUUACUUAAAUAUUUGGACAUGGCACCACAAGGACAGUGUAGGUAUAGUGCAAGUGCAGAGAGGUGACAUAUCAGCCAACACACCAUCAGGACAGUGUAGGUAUAGUGCAAGUGCAGAGAGGUGACAUAUCAGCCAACACACCAUCAGGACAGUGUAGGUAUAGUGCAAGUGCAGAGAGGUGACAUAUCAGCCAACACACCAUCAGGACAGUGUAGGUAUAGUGCAAGUGCAGAGAGGUGACAUAUCAGCCAACACACCAUCAGGACAGUGUAGGUAUAGUGCAAGUGCAGAUAGGUGACAUAUCAGCCAACACACCAUCAGGACAGUGUAGGUAUAGUGCAAGUGCAGAGAGGUGACAUAGCCAACACACCAUCAGGACAGUGUAGGUAUAGUGCAAGUGCAGAGAGGUGACAUAUCAGCCAACACACCAUCAGGACAGUGUAGGUAUAGUGCAAGUGCAGAGAGGUGACAUAUCAGCCAACACACCAUCAGGACAGUGUAGGUAUAGUGCAAGUGCAGAGAGGUGACAUAUCAGCCAACACACCAUCAGGACAGUGUAGGUAUAGUGCAAGUGCAGAGAGGUGACAUAUCAGCCAACACACCAUCAGGACAGUGUAGGUAUAGUGCAAGUGCAGAGAGGUGACAUAUCAGCCAACACACCAUCAGGACAGUGUAGGUAUAGUGCAAGUGCAGAGAGGUGACAUAGCCAACACACCAUCAGGACAGUGUAGGUAUAGUGCAAGUGCAGAGAGGUGACAUAUCAGCCAACACACCAUCAGGACAGUGUAGGUAUAGUGCAAGUGCAGAGAGGUGACAUAUCAGCCAACACACCAUCAGGACAAUGUAGGUAUAGUGCAAGUGCAGAGAGGUGACAUAUCAGCCAACACACCAUCAGGACAGUGUAGGUAUAGUGCAAGUGCAGAGAGGUGACAUAUCAGCCAACACACCAUCAGGACAGUGUAGGUAUAGUGCAAGUGCAGGGAGGUGACAUAUCAGCCAACACACCAUCAGCACAGUGUAGGUAUAGUGCAAGUGUAGGGAGGUGACAUAGCCAACACAC